GUUCGGUGGAAACGAGUAUAAAACGUGAAGGAUAACGUUGCGUCAGCAACGGCCCGUAGGGCGAGGCAAAGCCGAGUCAUCCUGCACAACCCACCA
rnacentral:sRNA from 3 species